rnacentral:lncRNA from 1 species
AGUGGAACUCUCAGGUCACAGAGAUUCAGGGUGGUCAGAGGCGGUUUGAUGUUUUGGGGAGAAAGAACAGCCGUGAAGGAUUCUGUGAUGCAGGAGAAGGUGGGAGGCCUCAGGACAGAAUCAGCAGGUCACCAUGCUUUCCUGCGUCAUCCACCUGUGGGCCUCUAAUGUGUUUCUAUGAAGUUUGCAUUAAAGUUUCAGCCACUAUUUUUCAGAAACAUGGUCAACCUCUCCUUCCCUCCUCUAUCUGCUGAUAGAGUUCUACAGAAAACAAGGGAAUGACUUGAGGAGGUGAGGUAAUGCGAAAGGGAGACAGGUCUUUUGGGUUUCUUUCUCCAUCGGCUCAGCUGUCAGAAUUGCAAUUUUGUUUAAAUAAUUUCUUAUGCUCAAAUUUAUUCAUCCAUUAAAAGGUGCCAUAAAUGAAAUGCAACUGCCAUUUCUUAUAGGGGGAUUCUGAAGGUUGUUGGUGGAUUCCUAGAAUGUAGCCCGCAGAACUGUGCCUGGAACGAUACCGGAUCACUGCAAAAGUACAGCGAACAGGGUCGCUUUGAAUAUUAAAGGAGGACUUUUUCAAAGUGUAUAGAGAGCAGUCAAAAGAUCGCCACAGUUGCUCUGUGUUUUCGUGAGCCAGCUUUCUCGGAAGGACUAAGCCAGUGGAUCACAAACAUCCUGGAGAGCAGUGACUCUGUGAUUCCAUCACAAGAAUAUGAAGGACUGAGAAGAUCUCCAGCUCUGCCCAUUGCACCUUCCCAUUGAGAAGCAGCAUGGCACCCUGGUGGCAGGGGCUGAUACUCAGCCGGGCCAGGGUGCUCUCCUGUUAACCAUAACCAAGCUCACAGGACAUGGGAUGAGCCCACUGUGUGACACAGGGAGCGGGACACAGUCUGUUAAGUCUUGCACAGCCAUGCUCUGCCACGCAGGCAGGCCUUUCCUUGGCCUCCCUCUCCCUGUUCGUGCUCAUGUGAACAUCCACCUACGUGGAUAGACUGGGCUUUGGUUCAUUAUUGCUCUGUGAAUUCCUCGAACUUCCGCAUCUGCCCAACCUCCCCCACCCCAUUGUUUUCAUUGUGUUUCACCAAAUGGAAAUUCUAGAGUAAGCAUGUGAGUCCUCUCCCAAACUUGUUCACUGUUGAGAGUGCUAAAAUGCUAACCCCAGAUGCUAACUGAGGGGUAGGGUUACCUUAUCUUUAGAGCACUGCGAAUUGUAUGUUAAGUGGAACUUAAUGAAAAAAUAGUUAAUUGACCAACAUGAAUAUCCCCUGAACAGAAUCUCCCCUGAACAGAAUCCUACAAUGAAACUAAGGGAGAUAAAUAAAGCUGUUUACCUGAAAGCUCUCUCUAAUCAAGAUCCUUUGAAAUUUAUAAAACAUGGUCAAUAUUUGCACUGGACUUUGUAAAAAUAAAGCUUGAUAAGAGAAGA